CUUACUACCUAUGAGCUCUCAAAAGGUGUGGUAGCUUCUUGUUUUGAGGAUAAUGCAGGUCCACAGUGCAUAAUUUGUACACGGAAUGCCUGGUCAAUCCUACCGAUAACUUGUCUCCUGAUCACCUUCAUCAAAAAUGAUGGUCCCACUAACAGCAUCCAUUUAGGUAAAGUACUAUCUUUUUAUCUGACAGGAUUGGUUAUCCACUAUACUUACAAGAUUAUUCACUAAAGUAAGAAUUCAAAUGACAUUCAAGGUGAAUUUCAAAUUUCAGGCAAAAGUAGACUUAAAUUCGGAAUUCAUUUUAAAUUAAUUUUGAAUUCUCACUUUAGUGAAUAACUUUGCAAGUGUAGAGUAUUUUAUUUUCCAUGAUAUCUUUCUGCCAUGUUUAAAUGUACCAACAUUUUCUUUACGUGAAUUUGUUUAUAUUUUGGGUGUAUAGAAGGCCGAACGUUAUUUACUGUUCAAAAUAUUUCAGACACAUCUGAUAAAUAUAUAAUUUGGCACUUUUGAUAUUGUUCAAUUAAACCGAAACAAACCAUUCAUUAAAUAAAUGCUAUUAAAGUUAUAAAGCACCAAUCGAUUGCGCAGGUCUGCACGAGUUAAAGUUACAGAUUUUUCCAAAAUGAAAAUACAAAAAAUUCAAGUAUACGUACCAUUACAAAUUAAUAUUGCCGAUAUAACAAAGCUUAAAGAAUGAAAAGAUUUUAAUUAUUAUAAAUGUAUUUUGUUCUUUCCAAAUUGACUCACGCACUGCAUUUUUCUGAUUAAAAUAAAAACAAAAAACAAACCACGAGCACUGCACUCGCUUCCCCACCUUACUUGCUUGCCUGGUUGCUAAAACACAGACCAGUAGAUAGACGAAAUUGGACCGUACUAUUUUUUUAAGUAUAAGAGCUGAACAAUACUUUGUUCAGAAACAAGUUUCUUACAUGUCCAGGCUAAUCACUGCACACUGUGAUGAUUGCAAAGAACAAGUCUAAGCAUGUCAGAUUUAUUGCAAAGCUCGAGGCUUCACUUUGCAAGUUCAGACAUGUUAAGGUUUCAAUCCAAACUAUAUCCUUACCAAGAUACCACUCUGGGUACUUUAAAUAAUGAUUUACAUAUGGAAUUUAAAUGAUUUUCUCUGAAAAUAUACAAGACUAAGAAGCGUGUGAAUUGUAUUACAUUCUGCAAGAAGGUUUUCUGUCUAUUUUUUUUACUAUUUUAAGUGUUCUUUACCUUGUGGAUUCUUUAAAAUCAGUCUCAUUAUUAAACUAAGUACAGCACAGGUAAGGAUGUAUAAUAUUUAUCACUUUGCCAGUUUGCCAUUACAUUACAUUAAAGCGACAUUAUCAUAAAAAUACAAUACUAUAACAAUAGUUAAUAAGUUAUAUUUUAUUUAAAGUGAUGCUGUUAAAAUGCAGAGUACUGUUGCUCUGUGUAUCAGUUAGAUACCUGUAGGGUUAAAUACCAAAAGUGUGAAUUCUUCACAACUGACCAAGGAAUUAGAUUUUUUCUUUCAUUUACUUAUAACAUCAUAACUCCCAACAUUUCGGAUGGACAUAAAAGGACACUUUAAUUCUAGUGCUGUAAGUGGGGCUGUGGCCAGGGGCGGGCUGGUCUGAGAAAUUUUAGGUGACUUACUAGUAACAUUUUAUGAAACUAAAAUGUAAUUUAGAACAAGAACAAUGUAUCUUAUUUACACAGACUGGUUCCUAAACACAUUUAUUGUAGUUGAAAUACAUUAAAGGACCACUAUAGUGCCAGGAAAACAUACUCAGGGCACUAUAGUGCCCUGAGGGUGCCCCCACCCUUUAGGGUCCCCCUCCCGCCGGGCUCUGGGGGGAGGAAGGGGUUAAACUCACCUCUUUUUCCAGCGCCGGGCAGGGAGCUCUCCUCCUUCUCUCCUCCUCUUCGGCUGAAUGCGCAUGCGUGGCAGGAGCUGCGCGCACAUUCAGGCAGUCCAUAGGAAAGCAUUCAAAAUGCUUUUCUAUGGACGCUGGCAUCUUCUCACUGUGAAAAUCACAGUGAGAAGUGCGGAAGCCCUCUAGCGGGUGUCAAUAAGACAGCCACUAGAGGCUGGAUUAACCCAUUUAUAAACUGUUUAUAGAAAAAAGGGUUAAACCUAGCUAGACCAGGCACCCAGACCACCUCAUUAAGCUGAAGGCGUCUGGGUGCCUAUAGUGGUCCUUUAAAGCGAGUAUUAUUGAUGUGGAGCUCUGUUAUUCACUCAGACACAUCAACAAUAUGCAGCUCCUAGCAAAAAAAGGAUAUUUAUAUAGAAAAUAAGGACAGUGGGAUUUGGGAACUAAAUAUGGAUUCAGGGGAGGAGGUAGCAGUGUGUCGGGGCUGUUUAAAGCUAGUGCUUUAUCUGCAACCGACAGCUGAUUUGAGAUUUAGUGGGCUUAAUUCCAAAGUCUCUUCUUGAAAGUCAUGAGACUGUUCUUUAUUAUUUCAAUGACAUUCUAUUAAAUAUUGUACAUGUUCUGUUACUUGAUUGUUUUUAUGUAUGUAUGUGCAUUACUUCAUUGGAACUCUGGUGAUCACUGUGAACAACCACAUUCACAACAUGGUACGGCUGCAGUCAGAUUCAUGAGCAGUUCCACUCACACUGGGGUAAUGUCUGAGGGACAUUUGUUACCCUUUGUGUAUGUGGAAAACAUUGUUAUAUCAAACCAGCUAUUGUUUUUUUUUGUGUGACAAUUUUUAUUGUUUAUUUUCAGGGUACAGAAGAGAAGGGGAGGGUUAUAGGGGGAAAAUAAUUCACACAGUGAUCCAGAACAUUCUAUAGACAUGUUUUAUACCCCAUGUUUAGCAGAUGGGUUUCAGAUUUUUAUGUAAGGGGUAUAGCAAUAUACACAUUCCCAGUUCCAGUUUAGCGUAUAACCAUUAGGGUUAACAUGUAAGGUUGGCUGUUGGGGACAUUUUGGGCUGGUUGUGAGCAGUGUGGUGGUGCGUGUAGGCCUUUUUCAGUGCCCCUGAGGGUAUCUUAGUGAUAACAGGUAUGCUGGGGUGAUGUUGACUGGAUACUUGAGGUGCAAGUGUAGUAUUGUAAUGGGGGGAGGAGAGAAAAGGGGGGGGAGGUGUGGUUCCUCAUCUUGCUGAUGGUGUCUUGUUACAGUGCCAAUGUACACUUGUCUACAGUAUCCAUGUGUCAGUGCAUAUUGGCAAACCAAACUAGCUAGUUUUAAGGCUUUCUUUUCAAUAGCAAUGCAUGUUACUGCUUUUAUAAUAACACAUUGACAUUAUACUAUCAUUAACAGCGGCACCAUUUAUAAAUAAGAUGCUAGGUUAAGGUUGGGAUUCUAAAGAAGGUUAGGGCAAAGUUAUGAUUAGGGGAAGAGGUGAAGAGGCAGAGAGGGGGCCUAUAACAAAAGGGCUAGGGGGACUUGACUUAUAUUGGGGGAGUUUGUGCUGUAUAUUAGGGGAGUUUGUGCUGUAUAUUGGGGGGUCUGUGCUUUAUAUUGGGCUUAGAUUUUUCCCAUUCAGAGUAGGUUUGAAUAAAAGGUUGGAGAUUGACUGUAUUUAAAAGGAGUCCUGGUCUUGGGGUUCCCAGUUGCCUCCCCAGGAAAUUACCCUUGAAUUUUUUUCUUGUAUAUAUGUUUUUUUUUUUUUUUACGUUUGCCUUAUCUGGGGUGAAAUAUGAAUUAUAUAUGGCACAACAUGGAUUGGUAGUAAAAUAUUGAAUUAUGUGUAUAUGAAAUUAUGGGGUGAAAUGACAUGAACUUGGAAGACGAAUGCAAAUUUUGACUUUUUCUCCCAUGACUCUGACUGAUAUGUUGCAGUGUAUUUCUUAUUUAUCAUUCUACUGACUGCCAUAGCUAGUGUCAUCCAGGGCCACCCAGGUAGUUAGACACAGAAAGUGAUUUAACCCCUUAAGGACACAUGACAUGUGUGACAUGUCAUGAUUCCCUUUUAUUCCAGAAGUUUGGUCCUUAAGGGGUUAAAGUAUAGAUAUGUCUCUGCUAUCAGCUGUGGUUCUAUAAUAGCUGGCAAUACGUCUGCUGUAUCAGGGGCUGCCUGCCAAUAAUAAGCAGAAAUACAUGUGAUUUUAUGCUUCAAUAGCGUGUAAUCCUUAAAACUAUUCUGUUAUCUCUGAGUAAUAGCUCACCAUUGCUAUGUGUUAAAUUACUGCCUUUACUACAGACACUGCGCUUUAAUUGCUUCCAAAGGAUGGUUGCCGCUGUUCUAUCAAAAAACCCUACCCCGUGAAAAUUCCCUACCCUCGUCACUUCCGGUGACGUGGCCGCACCGGAAGUGACUAGGAAAAGCUCUAGGACGGGGGGGAGCGCCGCCACGCAAGCGCACAACUACUAGGUAGGGAAAUUUCACAUUGAGCAGGGGAAAAUAACGGCACAGUGCGCACGCGCGGCACAGUACUCCCAUCGGAGUACCCCAGCCAGAGGGACUGCCCCACAUCUGCAACCAAAUCCGUCGGUCACCGAAUUCAGUAAUCUCUGUCUCUUUGUCCAUUCUGUAUGUAUGGUACUCCCAAUUCUUUUAUUUAAUCCGGUGUGUCUCCCACAAUCUUUGUGUCUGUCUGCUGUAUGUAUGUGGCACGCAAGUCUGCAUGCACUGUGUCUGUUAUGCCAUUUACUCUAACCAGUUUUUCUUUAGUUUUUUUGUGUGUGUCACAACUCUGACAAGCAUGUUCUCCUACGGGACACAAAGUACAUGAAGAGGAAUGAAGAAGCCCAUGUUUGAUACUCGUCUCCAGGGUGGAGUAUUGAAUUUAUAAGUACUGAAGUGGCAUCUGGCACGUGACAAGCUGCUCCUGUUUGCACAGCGACUUCAACAUUGUGUACUGUGAUCACGGCUUAGUUCAGAGGUAGGUAACCUUGGGCAGUCCAGUUGCUGUGAAUUACACCUCCCAUAAUGCUGCAAAGCAUUAUGGAAGGUGUAAUCCAAAACAUCUGGAAUACCGAAUGCGUAUGAAUGAAAAGUAUGGUGUGUGUGAAUGGUCAGUAACAAGGGUUGAAGCCUUGACGUGACGUUACUGCUCACAUGUGUAUCCAUGUGCCAAUUCAACCAAUGUGAGUGACUGUAAUACUUAUGAGGUAACCAUAAAUACCGUGACUAUGGAGAAUUAAAUGCCUGUAUCACCUAAACACUGCUUAUACUGUGACCGUAUCUCCUAAACACUGCGGCCGCACAGGGCGCCAUGGAGCAGGGGGCGCCGUGCGGCUGACACAGCUCACACAUGGCUGGCCGGCAUCUAAAAAAGAAAAUUUGCGGCGGGGGCAGAGCUAAAGGUGCCAGAUAACUGCUGCAGGGGAAGCAGGAAGGAGUGGGGGGGGCGCUGUGAUGAUUUUUGGCACAUGGCGCCUAAAGGCCUAAGGCCGGCCCUGCUCUGUUGCAUUAGACCCAAUUCUGAGAUUAUGACCGAACCCUAAAGCACUUAAAAUGUUUAUGAUAUUUUAUUUAUGUAUUUUGAAUGUUGUGCAAAGACGCCAGAUGGUCACUGUUCCACUUCUAUUCCAGUGGCCAUGAAGGGCAGGUGAAGGUAGUUUUUACUUGACUUAAAAUGUCCUUUGUAUGCAUCUUCUUUCUCAAUGUCCUCUUCAGCUCCUGGAGCGUUAAUCUGCCAGGAGCCAACGGAAGCGCUCUACUCAAGUGUAUGCAUUAGCUCUGUCUUUUGUCAAAAGUAGAAAAAAUACUUAAGAUAAAGUUGUUCCUGUGGGCGUCGCAGAGAUGCUUUAAGUCAAAAUUGAAAGCGCUCUAUCAUUCUUUCUAUUGUACGCCUCUAAUCCUCUACAUGGAAAUUGUAGUUUGUAAAAAUAGAAAAUAUGUAGAUUGUAAUAUGCUUUCUGGUUACGUUCUGGUGAGUUUUAACUUAAUUUUCGAUUUUUACAGCUCCCAAGGGAAGGAGCAAACCGCCUUGAGGAGUCCCUGCAUAAGAGACUAUUGGAUACAGAAGGCUGUACUAAAGGAAGAUCUCAUCACAGCAUCAUCCAAGCCCUAGUCAGGAGUAUAUGAGGCCUCUUUAGAGUAAAGAGCGGCUAACAAUAUCUGAUAAUAGGCCACAUGUGCAAUUAUUAUGUAUAUAAUUAAUGUACAACAUACUUUUUCACUUUUUUGUUACAUUAGAGAUUAACAAAUAUUGUUAGAGUUUUUGUUUACUGCUGCCUUAAAAAAAAUAAUAUUAAAACUCCAAACAUUUUUGAAAUGUGCAGUGAAAUGUGUAUCUGUAAUCAACGUUAACCUGCUAAUUAUUGUGGGACAAUGGAGAGCAACCCCAAACUGGUACUCUAUCAAACAAUCCAGGACUGUUAGGAAAUAUAGCUUUGUAUCAAACUAUGAUAAUUUAUGGUGCACAUAGGUCCUCUUGUCACUGUGCCUAUGGAAAGUUUUGCUUAUAACUGUGAUGACUUUUAAAAGAUAGCAAUACGCAGAGUAAGAAGUUGCUCUUUAAAGGGACACUAUAGGCACCAAGACCACUUAAUCUCGUUGAAGUGGUUUGGGUGCAGUGCCUAUGUCCCCUUAACCCUGCAAUGUGAAAUAUUGCAGUUUCUGAGGAACUGCAAUAAUUACCUUGCAAGGUUAUCUCAUCCUCUAUUGUCUGUCUGCCAGACAGGCACUAGAGGCGCUUCAGGUCCUUAGCGGAGACCAACUACGUGAAAUGACACUGGACAUCCUCACGCUUUGCAUGAGGAUAACCAGUGUCUUUAAAAACGCUAUAGAAAAGCCUUGAGUUAAUGCUUUCCGAUGUGGAAACCCAAAUUUGUGCGCAGAGAGCCCCCCAAUAUAAUGCGCAGACCCCCCAAUAUUCUGCACAGACCCCCCAAUAUACAGUACAGACCUCCCCAAUAUACUACGCAGACCCCCCAAAAUACUACGCAGACUCCCAAUAUACAGCACAGACCCCCCAAUAUACUACGCAGACCCCCAAUAUACAGCACAGACCCCCCAAUAUACAGCACAGACCCCCAAUAUACAGCACACACCCCACCAAUAUAAUGUGCAGAAACCCCCCAAUAUACUGCGCAGACACCACCCCAUAUACUAUGCAGACCCCCCAUAUACUGCGCAGCAUAUACUGUGCAGACCCCAAUAUACUGCAGACCCCCAAUAUACUGCACAGAAACCCCCAAUAUACUCGAGACCCCCAUAUAGCCCCCAAUAGGAAACCCCAUAUACUGUACAGAAACCCCCUAUACUGCACAGAAACCCCCAUAUACUGUACAGAAACCCCCAUAUACUGCACAGAAACCCCACCAUAUACUGUACAGAAACCCCCAUAUAUUGCACAAAACCCCAUAUACUGCACAGAAACCCCCAUAUACUGUACAGAAACCCCCAUAUACUGCACAUAUACUGUACAAACCCCAUAUACUGUAGAAACCCCCAUAUACUGUACAGAAACCCCAUAUACUGUACAAAACCCCCCCAUAUACUGAACAGUAUACUGUACAGAAACCCCCCCAUAUACUGUACAAAACCCCCCCAUAUACUGAACAGUAUACUGUACAGAAACCCCCCCAUAUACUGUACAGAAACCCCCAUAUACUGUACAGGAACCCCUCCAUAUACUGUACAGAAACCCCUACCGUCCCAAUAUACUGCACCCUCCCCUCGGAUAGCUUAGAGUGUUGGGAGCAGGGAGAGACUGACCUGUUUCCAGACAGGAUUUCAUCCGAUGGUGUGAGUCCGCGCGUGCGCAGUAUAGGGGUAGGGAGAUUUCACAGGACAAAUGACCAACAAAUUUCCCUACCCCUAUACUGUGAACGCGCGGUGUGGGGUAGGGAGAUGGGAUGGACGUAAAGCGCUCCCUGCCCACUAGUGCGCACACGCGCUGUACCUCCGACGGGAGUACUGUGCCGUUAUUUUCCCCUGCUUGAUGUGAAAUUUCCCUACUUAGUAAUUGUGCACUUGCGCGGCGGCACACCCCCCCGUCCUAGAGCUGUUCCUCGUCACUUCCGGAAGUGACGAGGGUAGGGAAUUUUCACGGGGUAGGGUUUUUUGAUAGAACACCGUAACCCCUUUUUCAUGAACAUUUUAUAAGAACAGGGCACUAGGGCAGUGUUCACCAUUUCAUAUUUUUGCAUUCUUUUCAAAUGCUCUCUAACCUAAAAUGAAAGUCUGACAUACCUACAGGUACAAAAGUGAAAACUAAAAUGUUUAACUAACUGAAAUGCGUGUGUCAUACCUGGCAGCCCUCAUGGGUGCGGCUGAACCAGUAUGCUUUCUUACAUAUGCUCCUUAAGCAAAUUAAAAAAAAAAAAUACAUUGAUUUCCUUCUACCAUCCAACUUCCCUGAAGACCUUUAGUGAUAAACAACUUACCACCUCAUGAGGACUGUAUUCGCUUAAAUAUUGGAAUUUACCUUCCCGAAGUGUCUUGUUGACAGGCCUAUGAAAGGAUGAGAAAUGAAUACCAGUGUAGCAUACCUUCUCACAUAGUGCCCAUCCAUUUUAGAUACACCCUUGAGUAUGUAUAGGUUUAGUACCUAUGUCACAUCGAGAUCAUUUUCUGAAGGCAUUCACUGCACCUUGACAAAAUAUUCAUAUAUGGAUGACUAAUGCAAGAUAAACAUAAAACACCUAACAACUCUGACAUAUUCAGCCUUUUGCUAGAUACGUUGAAGACCCAAAACAACUUGACAUAAAUCUUAAAAAUAAUAGGCCCAACCUUUUUUUUUCUUAACAAGAGAAACUAAAAAUGACCUACCUUGUGUGCGCUAAUUUCCAUAUCGAUACUGAAUACUGUUUACAUGAAAAUCUCAAUCAAGAAGAAUCGAAAGGGAGAACCAAAUAUUUAUUUCUUACUGUUUGGUGCGGGGGUGACAAAAUAAUUUUCUGCCCCUGUGUCAUAUAACCUAGGUAUAUCUCUGCCUUGCACCUAUUAUUUUCACACAAAUACACAUUUGUUAAACUUAACAUAAUAUUAAGAAUCGGUUUAUAUUUUACUCCCUCUUUGCCUUUAUUUAUCUUUUUUUCCCUUAAAUAUUAGACUCAUAUAAACUUACAGGGUUAUUUACUAAAGUGAGAAUUCAAUGUGAAUUUCAAAUUCAAACUAAAACUAACUAAACUGGAAACAUUCUCUGUCUUAGAUUUUAAAUUCUAUUUGAAUUCUCACGUUAGUGAAUAACUGACAGUCUUUUAUAUCCUGAUAGCUUUCUCAAGAAACUCCCACGAAUCUGCAAUUUAGGGCCUCGAUUUACUAUUUAACGGAUAAGCUUUUCAAAUAUUAUUUAUUUAAUAUUUCUGGAUACGCUUUUAAAAUGAUGUAAUAGUAUUGAUAUAUUUUUUUCAUAUAUAUUAUACAUUUUGAUUGUUUAAUAUUUCGAAAAAAUAUUUUAACAUUUUAUUCAAAAAUAUAAUAAAUUAUUUGAAAAGGUUUAGCCAAAAAUAUUAAUUUAGAGGAUCUAGGUUCUUUACAAAUACUGAUAUGCAGAUUAUUUGGACAUUUUUUUUAAAAUUUAUUUACACCUACUGCAGGUGACCUAAAAUGUAUUUCUACUUCUGUGGUAAUAUUUCAAUCUCUGAGGUAAAGUUGGAUAGGCACACGUUAAUAAUAGCAACCAUGUUUCCACUUAGAGGUGACCAAACUCCAACAGUGGUAAACAAUAAAGAAAUGGAUUGGGCAGAGGUCGAAAGUGCAGCGGAUUUAUUGGCGCAAGAGCAACGAUGUUUCUGCUCCUAACUUAGGCUUUAUCACGCUUGAUAAAGAUAAAUUGUCUGACAGGAGCCAAAAUGUUGCUAUUCUUCGUCCAAUAAAUCUACCUGCACUUAAGAUACGUGCCCAGUGUUUUCUUUAAUAUUUCAAGCUCUUUCUAAAAUACUGCAAGAAAAAGCAUUCUACAUCUAAAAGAGGAAUUGUCACUUCUCAGCAUUUUCCAUAUAUCAUUUACUAAUCCUGAUAAUUAACAAAUAUACUUGUGUAAACUGUGCAAAAUGAAAUUAAAUGUAGAAUUCCACACCUCUUAUUCCUGUUACUGAGUGUCUCCAUCUUAGCUCCCUGUCAAUCAUUGUUAUAAAUGCUAUACAUACAGCUUGCAAUCAGCAUAGAGAAAGCAUACAGAGAAGAGAUGAAAUGAAACAAUGUUUCUAUUUCCACUCAUCAUCUGCAAUGUUUGCAUUGGCUUUUCCUUGUCUUAACGGAAUUAUGUAAUUUUCUAAAUCUUUAGUAGCGAUGUUAAAGAAAAUGGAGUAUCUAGUGAAACAAAACCUAGCAUAAAUUGCAGAUGAUAUUCAAUGGUAUAAAUUCCAGAGAUGCUACAGUUCCCCUUUAAAUGUUUUUUAUUCCAUCAAUAUUCUGUAUAGAAUAAAUAAAUUAAUCCAAUUGGACCAGACUGGGGAAAAUUUUUUCCCUUGUCCCGGGAUUUUUUUAAAUUCCCAAAAAAAUCGGAAAGCCGUGUAAUCACUAAUACAAGCUUGUACUCCCUAAAGUGAUCAUGCUGGUUUAUUACUCUUCCAUGGCAGCCCAAGCUCAAAGCCCUGCUAAAGAGCUCUCCCAUGAGAAAAAAGAUGUUCUGCGCAGAACAAGCUAAUUUAAUAACAUGCUUGUGCCUUGUUUGCUUGUAACUUGUCUCUGGUCUUUCUAUAAGUGGGAUACCAGAGGUGAAAAGGGCCAGAUCUGCUGUGUGUGUUAGGGAUCCAGUGUGUGUAUAAGGCAUUCAGUGUCUAUAGGGGUUAUAGUGUGUGAGUAGGGGUGUAAUGUGUGAAUGCCUAUAGUGACUGUAGUGUGUGUAGGAAGGUGAGAUGUGAGUAAAUCAAUAAAAAAAAAAAAGGAUAUGUACAUACAUAUAUAUGUAGGAAUGUAUGGGAAGAGAUAUGCAAAUGAUUGUUGCAAAACUUGCAGAAAAAUUGUGAUUGGAUGACUCAAGACAAGGUGAUCUAGCAACUUAAGAAAGAUAAUGUAAACAAAUCUUUGAGGCCUGAUGGUAUUCACCCACGAGUACUUAAUAAGCUCAAUGUGUAAAAAAGUGAACGCCUGCUUUUAAUCUUUCAGGAUUAAUUUCUUUAAUUUUCCCUAUAUUUAAAAAGAGUUAAAAGUCUGCCUAGAAAUUAUAGAUCUGUUAGCUUAACAUCUGGGGCUGGGAAAGUAUUUGAAGCAUUUGUAAGGGAUAAUAUUCAGGAAUGCACUGAGAAGAACAUUGUUAUUAUCAAAAAAUGGUUUUCUAAAACAUAAAUCAUGUCAAACUAACUUAAUUCCAUUAUUUGAAGAAGUAUGUAGAAGUACAGAUCUGGGUGUUGCAGUGGAUGUGAUCUACUUGGAUUUUGCCAAGGCGUUCCAUACGAUUCCACACACUACGUAAGUGUUCAAACUAAAAGAAAUUGGUCUAAAUAAAAAUUAUUUUUCUUGGAUCGAACAUUGGAUUAAAGACAGAGUACAGAGAGUUGUCAUUAAUGGUAACUUAUCAAGCUGGACAAAAGUAGUAAGUGGGGUCCCUCAGGGUUUAGUUCUGGGACCGCUUAUGUAUAACAGAUUUAAAAAUGAUCUUGAAAUAGGCAUUGAAAGUCAUCUUUCGGUGUUUGCAGAUAACAAAUAACUCUGUGUGUGUGUGUGUGUAUGUAUCUAUAUAUAUAUAUAUAAACAUAUAUAUAUAUAUAUGUAUAUAUAUAUAUAUAGAUACAUACACACACACACACACAUACACUGCUGUGUGUGCUGUUAGUGUGAUGUGUCUGUGAGGGUGCUGUUAGUGUGAUGUGAGGGUAUUUGUGUGUGUGUGUGUGUUUGUGACUGUGCUGUUUGUGUGUGAGGGUGUUUGUGUGUGUAUGUUUGUCCUGUGAGGGUGCUGUUUGUGUGAGUGUCGUGUAUUUGUGAGGGUGCUGUUUGUGUGUGAGGGUGCUGUUAGUGUGCUGUGUGUGAGGGUGUUGUGUUUUUUUUUAAGGUGCUGUGUGUGUUUGUGAGGGUGCGGUUAGUGUACUGUGUGUGUGUGAGCUGUAUGUGUGUAGGUGCUGUAUGUGUGUGUGCUGUAUGUUUGGAGGGAUUUGGCAGAUUAGUAAAUCCUUGCUGCCAUGUGCCAUCCCUGGUGGUCCAGUGGAGAGUGAACUCUAGCCUGCGGGGUUAGAGUUAACUCUCGCGAGAUCUGAGCGUUGCUGCAGCUUCUGUCUAGAGCUCCCUGGGUCCUCUCCUGCCUCCCUCCAUGCUGCUGUGGGCCGGUGAGGUAGAUCACGCCGGCUCUGUGUGUGUGUGUGUGUGUAUAUAUAUAUUUAUAUAUAUAUGCGUACACACACACACUCACAGACACACACACACAUACAUACACUCACAGACACACACACAUUCACACAGACACACACUCACACACACACAUACACAGACAGACACACACUCACAGACACACAUUCACACACACACACAGACACACAGAGACACACUCACACACAGACACACUCACACACAUUCACAGACACACAUUCACAGACACACAGACACACUCACACAGACACACAUUCACAGACACACACACUCACACACACACACACACACACACACACACACAGACAUACACACACACACACACACACUCACAGACACACACACACACACACACACACAGACAUACUCACACACAGAAACACACACACACUCACACACUCACAGACACACAAACACACACUCACAGACACACACACACAAACACACAGACACACACUCACAGACACACAUAAACACACAGACACACACACAGACAUACUCACACACAGACACACACUCACAGACACACACAAACACACACACACUUACACACAGACACACACACACACAGACACACACACAGACAUACUCACACACAGACACACACACACACACACACACACAUGAACAAAUUAUUAUAUUUUAAUAAAAAACAAUGUCCACCCAGCCUCCUACCUGGAGUGCUGGCGUGGACUUUUCCCUGGGGUGCAGUGGGACGGGCGCCUCUCUCCAGCUCAGCCGCGGCGAGGGAGCUGUGUGCUGUCUGCUCCCUCGCCGCGGCUGAGCUGGAGAGCGGGGGGGGGGGAAUCCAUCACCACUUGCCCCCCCAUGACAGGAGCAAGAGGUGAGUGGGGUGCUGAGUGCCUGCAGGAACAGCGUUCCUGCUAAAAAAAAAGUGCAGGAACACUGUUCCUGCAGGACUCAAACCAUAGGUGUGCCACGGGGAUUAGGGUGUGCCCAGGCACACCCAGCACACCCCGUGCGCACGCCUAUGCUGUGUAGUAAUACAAUGUGAGAAGGAUAUUACUUCACUGCAGAUCAAUUUAGAUUGGGGGACUGGGCACUCAAAUGGUAGAUGACAUUUAAUGUAGAUAAAUGCAAAGCUAUGCACUUGGGGGUAAAAGAAUGCACAAGCAACUUACACCCUAAAUUGUAGUGAAUUAGGGAUAACAACACAUGAGAACAAUUUGGGAAUUGUUAUAGACAACAUACUAGCUAGCAAUGUGCAAUGUCAAUUGGCAGUUACUAAGGCCAGUAAGGUAUUGUCUGUAUAAAAAGAGACAUUAAUUCUCAGGAUGAAAAUAGAAAUCAACAGCAAGUCCACACCUUGAUUAUCCUGUGCAAUUUUGGGCACCUGUUCUAAAGAAGGAUAUAAUGGCACUAGAAAAAGUGCAGAGGCGGGGUACAAAAUUUAUAAAAGGAAUGGAAUAUUUUAGUUAUUAAGAAAGUUUAACAAAUGUAAAUCUGUUUAGUUUAUAAAAGCAGUAUAUAGUUAUACAAAUAUAUUGGAAGCCAAUACAAACCAAUGUCUGGAAAUCUAUUGAUAAACAGGACUAAACAUAGGACAUGAGGUCACGCAUUUAGACUGGAAGAAAGGAGAUCUAAGUCAAAGGAAAGCUUUUUUUAUUCCAGGAAGAACUAUAGGGAUACUCCUGGUUCCAUCUUCUCUCCUACAGUAAAGUGCAUUGGGCCAGUGAGGGAGAUCUUUGAUCGACUUGAUGGCCGAUAAAGGCACAUUUGCCUGCUUUGCCUGUUUACCAGAAUCCAACAUUAAAAUUGCAGAUAUAAUGAACAGCAAUAUAUGGGCAAAAUUGCUGCUUUGUACUCAGGGCCGGCCUUAGGCAAUUAGGCGCCCUGUGCAAAAAGUCUUCACGGCGCCCCCCCCACCUCCCACCAAGUUGCCUGAAUACAGUAACACACACAGGCACCGGGGACGUGUGUAUCACGAGGCAAACAAGGCAUCUGCCUUGGGCGCCACUUUGCAGGGGGCGGCAAAAAAAAGCAUCCCUCCAAACCCCCAGGCAGAUCCCUUGCUUGCCUCGCAUCCUGGGGGGCUCAAGAGCUGACCGGCUGGCCACUUUUGAGCCCCCCCAAGGCUGGCAGCGGGCAGCGAAGGAGCAUACUCACCUGAGCUCUUCCUGCUCAGCUUCCUCUGCGCCGCUUAAUGAAGCCGGGAGCCAGAAUAUGACGUCAGUCCGGCUCCCGGCAUCACUAAGCGCUGCUUACUCAGCCUGUGCGCCCCCUGCCUGCCUGCCCAGCAGCCACACUGGACUGCUGGUAAGAAAUCCACUCCAGCUUUCCCAGGGAGGCUGGGUGGAUUUAAAAUAAAUGUAAAAAAUAUUAGUUUGUGAGUGUUAGUGGAAAUGUCUGUGUGUGUGUCUGUGAGUGUUUAUUUUGAAGUGAAUGUGUGUGUGUGUGUGUGUCUGUAAGUGUGUAAUUGUGUGUGUCUGUAAGUGAAUGUGUGUGUGUCUGUGAGUGAAUGUGUGUGUUGGUCAGUGAGUGUAUAUGUGUCAGUCAGUGAGUGUGUAUGUGUCAGUCAGUGAGUGUGUAUGUGUCGUCAGUGAGUGUGUAUGUGUCGUCAGUGAGUGUGCGUCUGUCAGUGAGUGAGCGUCUGUCAGUCAAAGUGCGGCCUUGACAGGAAGGGGUGGGGGAAAUUUAAACUCGGUUACAGGCAUGUACACACACACUCAGUUAAAGGCAGUCACACAUACAGGCACAGGCACAAACAAUGGCACAGCUACAGCGACACACACAGACAGACAGUCACAUAGGCAGUCACACACACAGACAGACACACAGUAACACACACAUAGACAGUUAUACACACACAGGCAGGCAGUCACACAGAUAGAAAGUCACACACACAGGCAGGCAGUCACACACAGACAGUUACAGACAGACACACACAGGCAGGCAGGCAGUCACAUACAGGCAGUCACACACACAGGCAGUCACACACACAGUCACAGACAGACAGUCACACAGACAGACAGUCACACAGGGCAGUCACACACACGGACAGUCACACAGACAGACAGUCACACAGACAGACAGUCACACACACAGGCAGUCACAUACAUGGGCAGUCACACAGACAGUCACACAGACAGACAGUCACACACACAGACAGUCACACACAGGCAGGCAGUCACACACAGAGACAGUCACACACACACACAGAGACACAGUCACACACACACACACACACAAGGACAGGCAGUCACACAGACAGACAGUCACACACACACACAGACAGACAGUCACACAAACAGGCAAACAGUCACACACACACACUUACCUCUUUCCAGUGGAUGCAGUUGGCUGAUGGGGAAGCAUCUUUCCCUCUUCCUGUACAGCAGGGGCUUCGGGAGGUAUUAGCCCCGUCUCCGCCUCUCGAUAAGCCCCGCCUCCGCCGCUCGGUAAACCCCGCCCCCUCUGCCGCGAUUUUUUUUUUUUUUUUAAAUAGACCUUUUAGCUCCCCUGCACUCCGGCCAUGAGUGAGCUGUGUCGGCCACAGGGCGCCCCCUGUUCCAUGGCGCCCUGUGCGGUCGCACAGCUCGCACACCCCUAAGGCCGGCCCUGUUUGUACUUCAACAAAAAAAGAACUUGCUAUUGAAGGGGUUAAAGUAAAAUAUCUAUUUUGUUCAAUAUUAUCAAUAAUGUAAACCAAAGAUUUUAAUUUGCCAGAUGUUGUCAUGAGAAACGUAUCAAAUAAAAGAAAUUUAAUUUUGUAACUUUCAUUUUGAGCAUGUAUCUCUGACACUGAAAGUGUAAAAAUGUUUAUUCUUACUAUGUAAGCAGUGCAGGUCCUGAACCUCAAUUGUCAUGCCCAGGGUGUGGGUUACGAUGGAAAUGUAUAGGACAGUACUUUUAAAGUAUCACAUUAUAGAUGAGCUAGGUCAUUAUUAAUCUAUCUUUCAAAUGGGUGUGAACAGAUACCUGGGAUUCGUGCAUUGUGGAUGUAAAGAUUAAAAGAACUGUUACUUUUUUUAGACUUGUAGCUCAGGAAAAGAAUGUACUGGUCACAGCAAAACAUUUUUUUUCUGAUCAUAUCACAAUCUAUAGAUUUUCUUUUCACCUACAUUAAAAAACAAAGCUGUAUAUAAAAAUGCUGUAUAGAUUCCAAAAUGAAAUAUGUACAACAUAGCAGCCCUCCAAAUUAUUCCAAUUAGGGUCCUGCCCAACCAUCCCAGAUUUGUUCCCUGUUGUUCCGCUUUUGGGGACACCAGUGAACUGUCCCCAUUUGUAUCAUUAGAUGAGCUUGCAAUAUGAUAAGGGCGCUAGGACUCUGCAGAGAUAACUGCAAUGGUGUUCAAUGCAUGGCCAAUUCACAUCAUCAAAUUCAUGCAGUGCAUGAAGAUUGCAUUGAUUGGAUUGAAUUUAAUUCAAUUCUUGGCUAAUAUUACAAUUUCUCCUUUUACCAACUUUAACCUUAUUAUGUCCAUCAAUAUAUUUAACUUUUGGAAAUAAUUUUAUAUCCAGAUUUAGUAAUUCCCUUUACAUUGUCUCCUUUUUCUGAUUCCUAAUCUGACAAAAUAUGUUCUGAAAACAUGCUAGAGAAACAUGCUCCAAUAUUUGCAAGUUCAUUAUAAGCAAGAGGUACACAUAACAAUCUUAUCUAUAGCAUUGGACAGAUUUUUCAUCACAUUAUGAAUUAAGUUAUUAACUGUGUUGGUUAAAGAAACCUCUGACAACAUUUGUAUAUGUUUAUUAGUGAAUAUGUUACAUUAAAGAUGUAAAAGCUAUUAAUAGCAUAAAAUGUGGCAAAAAAAUCCCUAAACAAACCAAAAAUGCAGUCUUCAUUACAGUGAUCAAAUAGCAAGUACAUUUUAUAAUAAAUAUGAAUACAUAAUAAUAAAAAAACACUACAAAUAGAAUGUAUCGUAAAAUGUAUAAAUUAAUCGAAUAUUUAGAAACCCGAACAUCACAUAUAAAACUGACUAUAAAAAAAAUAUUAAUUUUAGAUAUUUAGCUUUUUAUAGAGUAAAGUAGAUGGGGAUGCUGUGACAAAGAUCUAUAUAGCGCAAGUUGAUGCUGGAUUGGCUGUUGUAUGUUCUAUUUUUCACAUUUUAAAAUUAUUUUUUUCUCCAUAGUGUCAUUUUCUUUGAGAGAAAUAUAUUUUUAAUGAAUUAGGUAGAUGCUUUAAAAAUACAGAUACUUUAAUUAUGUACAGUUUAAAAAAAAAAUGCAUGGCUUCAUAUGCACUUCAACCAGGAGGUGUCUGAGAGCCCAAAGCUGAGUCAUUGCUUCUCUUUGAAACUAAUGAGAGAAGAACUGUCUAUGCAUUGUUGAGAUAUCAGAAGUACAUGCUAGAAUGCUAUGCUGUGCACACUAUGAUACAUGCAUGUAUAAUGUACAGAUUAGGAUUGAGAAGAUAGGAAAUAACACACGUGACCUCUAUACUGUGCAUUAAUGUUUACUUUUAUAUUUGUCUCCCCACAGGGUUAGCAAAGUCAAGAACCCCUUCAUUACAGAGGAUCAAUCACUCUGUUACAGCAACAACAGUUUAUAUGGUACAUUUACAAGUGGCAUUAUCUGAAUAUCUGUCAAUCACAUGGCAACCCUUCGUUCUUUCUAGUGAAGCCUACCAGGAGGAACAGAAGGAUGUGCAGGAGUGACUGGAACACCAACAGGCUGCACAAGGAUUGCUGUAAUGGCAGACUGCAACUAAAUAAUGGAUGCAGAGACAGCAAGAGUGCAUCUGAGAAUCGAAAAUUCUAUGGCCAUUUUCUUGACAUUGUACCAAUAAUCUCCAGUUAAUAUAUACAAAAUAGUCCCCACCUUGCAUCCCCGGUAUAGUUCCUUCAAUUUAUCUCCGACUGCCUUUUCCUCAAUUCACAUUUUCCCAGAAUUAUGCAUCUUUUUUUUUUAGCUAUAUUUCUCCAGUAUAUCUGUCCAAACCAUAUGUCAUCAUGUUCCCCCAAUGCAUAUGUGCCAAUUGUAUUCCCCAUGUAUUAAUUCAUAUACAAUGUUCCUCCAGUUCUUCUACUCUCAUCUCUACCAAUACCGUUUGUUACAUUCCUGGUUAAUAUCUCUCUAUAUAUCCCUCUCCAGAGCAUCUCUCCCAGCCACACCACUUCCCAGUAAUUCCUCCCGGUCAUACCCCACAGUACAUCACCCCGCAUUGGCGGAUCCGGG